AUUGAACGCUGGCGGCAGGCCUAACACAUGCAAGUCGAGCGGAUGAAGGGAGCUUGCUCCUGGAUUCAGCGGCGGACGGGUGAGUAAUGCCUAGGAAUCUGCCUGGUAGUGGGGGAUAACGUCCGGAAACGGGCGCUAAUACCGCAUACGUCCUGAGGGAGAAAGUGGGGGAUCUUCGGACCUCACGCUAUCAGAUGAGCCUAGGUCGGAUUAGCUAGUUGGUGGGGUAAAGGCCUACCAAGGCGACGAUCCGUAACUGGUCUGAGAGGAUGAUCAGUCAAAAGGAAACUGGAAAACGGCCCCACCCCCGACGGGGGGCAGGAGGGGGGAAUUUUGGCAAAUGGGGGAAAGCCUGAUCCAGCCCUGCCGGGUGGUGGAAGAAGGGCUUCGGAUUGUAAAGCACUUUAAGUUGGGAGGAAGGGCAGUAAGUUAAUACCUUGCUGUUUUGACGUUACCAACAAAAUAAGCCCCGGCUAACUUCGU
rnacentral:rRNA from 1 species